CGAUUUAGAGGUGUGGCUUGAACCGUGGCUUCUGGAGCUAACGCGUUAAGUCGACCGCCUGGGGAGUACGGCCGCAAGGUAAAACUCAAAUGAAUUGACGGGGGCCCGCACAAGCGGGAGAGCAUGUGGUUUAAUUCGAUGCAACGGAAGAACCUUACCUACUCUUGACAUCCAGCGAAUCCUUUAGAGAUAGAGGAGUGCCUUCGGGAACGCUGAGACAGGUGCUGCAUGGUUGUCGUCAGCUCGUGUUGUGAAAUGUUGGGUUAAGUCCCGCAACGAGCGCAACCCUUAUCCUUUGUUGCCAGCACGUAAUGCCGGGAACUCAAAGGAGACUGCCG
rnacentral:rRNA from 1 species